CGAGGGGGCGGGCGGAGCCGCGAGUGACAGCGGGAAGGGGAAGGCGGGAGAGGGCGGCCGCCGGCUGAGGGGUGCAGGGUCCUUCCUCAGUAGAGCAAUUUGUGAUGGAGAUGGCCAGUGGCACCUGCAAAGUACUGUAUUCCUCUUCCGUUCAAAGUCGCUGGCUGGAGAAACUGCAGAAUUCAACACUGCUGUUAAAUGGAUUUAUUUGGGAAUUAGGGCGUUCGCCGUGUACUGCUGCAUUGCUGAGGAACUGGCUGGACUGGACAGGGGGCCUCUGGCUCCCAGUUCUGGCCCAGAUUGUUCAGACCCUCUUUCGCAUCUGAAGGUACUACUUGGGGCAAAGUCUGUGAAGACCAGGCAGGUCUGCAGCAGGAAUAUUUAAGAAUCCCCCCAGCCCUCUGAGGGGGAAAGAGAAGGGAGUGGAAUCUGCAAAAUUUCUCUGCAUGAGUUUUAAAACCUGUAAAACCUGCGACAGAUAAAAAGCAUAUUAAAAACACAGUUCUACUUUCU